rnacentral:rRNA from 1 species
CCUACGGGAGGCUGCAGUGAGGAAUAUUGGUCAAUGGGCGCGAGCCUGAACCAGCCAAGUAGCGUGAAGGAUGACUGCCCUACGGGUUGUAAACUUCUUUUAUAAAGGAAUAAAGUGAGGCACGUGUGCCUUUUUGUAUGUACUUUAUGAAUAAGGAUCGGCUAACUCCGUGCCAGCACCCGCGGUAAUACGGAGGAUCCGAGCGUUAUCCGGAUUUAUCGGGUUUAAAGGGAGCGUAGAUGGGUUGUUAAGUCAGUUGUGAAAGUUUGCGGCUCAACCGUAAAAUUGCAAUUGAUACUGGCAGUCUUGAGUACAGUUGAGGUAGGCGGAAUUCGUGGUGUAGCGGUGAAAUGCUUAGAUAUCACGAAGAACUCCGAUUGCGAAGGCAGCUUACUAAACUGCCACUGACAUUGAUGCUCGAAAGUGUGGGUAUCAAACAGGAUUAGAUACCCCUGUAGUC